rnacentral:rRNA from 1 species
UGCUCCAGAAUAGCUCUUGGAAACGGGUGGUAAUGCUGGAUGCUCCAACUUGACGCAUGUCUUGUUGGGAAAGUGUUUAGGUGGCAUGGGGAUGGGGGUCGCGUCCUAUCAGCUUGUAGGCGGGGUAAUGGCCCACCUAGGCUUCGACGGGUAGCCGGCCUGAGAGGGCGGACGGCCACAUUGGGACUGAGAUACGGCCCAGACUCCUACGGGAGGCAGCAGC